UACGUAGGGUGCAAGCGUUGUCCGGAAUUAUUGGGCGUAAAGGGCUCGUAGGCGGUUUGUCACGUCGGGCGUGAAAACUCAGGGCUUAACCCUGAGCCUGCUUCCGAUACGGGCAGACUAGAGGUAUGCAGGGGAGAACGGAAUUCCUGGUGUAGCGGUGAAAUGCGCAGAUAUCAGGAGGAACACCGGUGGCGAAGGCGGUUCUCUGGGCAUUACCUGACGCUGAGGAGCGAAAGUGUGGGGAGCGAACAGG
rnacentral:rRNA from 1 species